rnacentral:lncRNA from 1 species
AGACCACAGCGAUAGGAGGACAGGGCAAGAACCUCUGUUCCAGAAGGAUUGGGACCAGGAAGAAAGCUGCAGAGAGGCAGGCUCGUGCUCACCUGCAGUCAUGCCCAUCUUGCCCACCUGCUGUCUGCGACUAGGCCAACUCCUAAACCUCUCUGAAGCUUAAGACCUGCCACAGUGGGCUGUGCCAGAGUUGGAGUGGAGACUCACUGAGAUCAUCUAGAAGAGGCACCUGCCUCAAAGCCUUCAGAGUGGAGACUUUUUAGAACACGGAAUGACUCCAACAAGGGUCAGACUCUAACAACCAAACAACAACAAUCAACAACUACUUCACAGUUCUCAGAGAUCAGCCCUGCCACGGGAAACGCACAGUAAAGCAAGAGCAGGGUUGACAUUCUCUGUGAAAUGGCAUCAGGCAUGACUCUGGAGCAAUCUUACAGAUGGAUAGCCUUGAUCUCCUUCCACCAGUUGGCUAAAGGAUUGAAUUUUUUACUAUCUGUAGGAGAUAGUCUAUGAUCUUGUUCCAAAUAUCUGAAUAAACUUUAAGAACCACAGUGCAAUCACUUGGACACGAUCCCAGAUCCAUCCGUCCAUUCAUCCAUCCACCCAUCCAUCCAUCAUUCACGAUUGACUCAAUAUCCUGCUGGGAGCUGGGAAAAAAGAGACAUGAAGUAUCCCUGCCUCUGAGCAGCUUUCAGUGCAGAUGGUAUGCCAGGGACAAUAUACAAGACAGAAUAGAGUUCAUUCAAGUAUUCUAUGUUUUGUUAUUUAGUUUUCAAAUAUGAACCCUGGAUGGAACCAGGCUUUGUUCCCCCAAGUUAUCAGCUAAAGAGAAAGAGCUCAGCCAAGUGACAAGGUGUUGCCGCAGUGAUAACUCAAUUUUGUGGUUUUCAGAAAUGCAGAAGAAAGAAGGUUGGAAAGAAUGGGCUGGCACUCCCCGAAGAGUGGGGCUCAAAGUUCUGGUCUCAGCAGAUCUUUGAGGGAGACGUAGGGUCUAGGCCGGCAAAACCAGAGAGAAGGAUAGGCUUUUAGAUGCUCAUCCCACCCAAAACCAUGAAAUAAUCUCCCCUGUCUCCUGAUUAGUAUUUGUCAGCCUCAUUUACCCUUAAGAUUUGUGCAAAUGAAAAACGUUAAAUGCAGUUCCUGGAUCAGUAAUUAAACAUAAUUAUUUCAGUGGAAGAGAUUUUUGUUUUCAUAAUCUCCUCUUUGUCUGCAUAGAGCCAGCUCUUGGUUACAUCUGCCACUGAUAGCCUUUGCUCUGUUUACUUUAAAGAAUAAGCCACUGUUUGAUUUGGUUUCUUGUUUUCAAUAUGUAAACCCUGGUCUCUUGAUUCCCCAUUCCAGGAAGGAAAAAAUAAAAGAACAAGGCUCUUUAAAUAUCAGAGCCAUGAUGACUUAACAGAUACACGCAGGCUCAAUAUUUUAUGUAACAGCCACUUAGGAAAAUGCGUAAGAAUUUCCCAGCUGGCAGCCCUGAUUUGGCAGGUGUACCUCAAUUGAACCAAUCGCUUUUCAUCUGGCUGUCAAUUUGUUUGGUUUUUCUGGCUACAUUGCACCAGAGUCUGUGUGUAUUCCAAAAGGUCGUUCACCUAUUCCACGGUUCAAAGGGAUCAUUCUGUUCACUUAAAGGGUCACUGUAAUCAUAUAUUGAAACAUAGCUAAGUACGAUGAGCUAGAAUUUUAGGAGGGGUAAAACUAAUAGGAAAAUCCAGGAGUAUAAACCACAAAACACACAUAAAAAAAGAGAUAAAAACAGAAAACAUAAUUCCUCAAUUAAAAAAAAAAAGGAACCAAAAAGAAAAAAAAUCUAUAACAAACCACACUGUAGGAGUCUCACUAUACACUAAAAUUAACAAUCACAGCUGGGGUAAAUACUUUAUUUAUUUUAUUCAUAUUCUGCACUGGCAGCAUAUUCUAGUUGCCUGUUUGAUUUCAUUAAUCCAAAGCAAAAGAGAAGUAGAGAUUUAUGUAAAUUUCAUGUUAUGCUCAGAUUGUAAGGGAGCCACUAAUUGAACUUCAGGUCUUCCUUAUUGGAAGGAAGACCUGAAGAUGAAUGGCUUCAUGAAAUAAUCG